rnacentral:ncRNA from 2 species
GAAAUAGAAUAACUCCGAGUUUAUAAUCCUAAAGACAAGAGUCAAUGGAUAUAAGCCUAUGGGUAUGAAUAGAAAUGUUCAUGCCUCCCGUGUUUGGAAAGGAGGAUUUUUUACCGACAU